GACGAACGCUGGCGGCGUGCUUAACACAUGCAAGUCGAACGAAGUGGCGAACGGGUGAGUAACGCGUAAUCAACCUGCCCUUCAGAGGGGGACAACAGUUGGAAACGACUGCUAAUACCGCAUACUGAAGGAGGGGAUUGCGUCUGAUUAGCUAGUUGGAGGGGUAACGGCCCACCAAGGCGAUGAUCAGGAGCCGGUCUGGGAGGGUGAACGGCGAAAUUGGGACUGGGCCACGGCCCAAACCCCCACGGGAGGCAGCAGGGGGGAAAUUUCCGCAAUGGACGAAAGUCUGACGAAGCAACGCCGGGGGAGGGAUGACGGCCUUCGGGUUGGAAAGCUCUUUUAAUCGGGACGCGGUACCGGAAUAGAAAGCCACGGCUAACUACGUGCCAGCAGCCGCGGUAAUAC
rnacentral:rRNA from 1 species